rfam:Triticum aestivum genome assembly, contig: Triticum_aestivum_CS42_TGACv1_scaffold_130702_2BL
GUAUUACUCCCUCCGUCCCAAAAAGCUUGUCUAAAUACGGAUGUAUCUAACACUAAAACGUGUCUGGAUACAUCCGUAUCUAAACAAAUCUAAGACAAGCUUUUCGGGACGGAGGUAAUACUUA